AUUGAACGCUGGCGGCAGGCCUAACACAUGCAAGUCGAGCGGAGCGGCGGACGGGUGAGUAAUGCCUAGGAAUCUGCCUGGCAGUGGGGGAUAACGUCCGGCAACGGGCGCUAAUAACGAAUGCUAUCAGAUGAGCCUAGGCCGGAUUAGCUAGUUGGUGGGGUAAAGGCCUACCAAGGCGACGAUCCGUAACUGGUCUGAGAGGAUGAUCAGUCACACUGGGACUGAGACACGGUCCAGACUCCUACGGGAGGCAGCAGUGGGGAAUAUUGGACAAUGGGCGAAAGCCUGAUGCAGCCAUGCCGCGUGUGUGAAGAAGGUCUUAGGAUUGUAAAGUACUUUAAGUUGGGAGGCGUUACCGACAGAAGAAGCACCGGCUAACUUCGUGCCAGCAGCCGCGGUAAUUC
rnacentral:rRNA from 1 species